rnacentral:misc_RNA from 1 species
UUCCCGACAAAAAUCCUCCUCCUGCACCACCGCUCUAUCUCGUACCAGGACUUGCACACCAUCGAAAUCGCGUUACGGUCCUUGUCGCUGUGUAUGAAGGAGAACACGUGCUCCAGCACCUCCUCAGGGAAGGAGCUCGCCAUUCUCAACAUUAAUGCCAAUGAAUCCGAAAUGAUGUCGUUUCUUCUGUUCUUCAGCGAUUCAGGUUCAGAGAGAUACAGAGAGACAGAGUGCUCGGAUUGUUAAUGCUGUUAGAUCUGAGAGGCCACCAACGAAAAGAGCUUAUAGGUGCUUUGAGAGAGAGAGAGAGAGAGAGAG